rnacentral:rRNA from 1 species
GCAGCGCGAGAGAGCUUGCUCUCUUGGCGGCGAGUGGCGGACGGGUGAGUAAUAUAUCGGAACGUGCCCAGUAGCGGGGGAUAACUACUCGAAAGAGUGGCUAAUACCGCAUACGCCCUACGGGGGAAAGGGGGGGAUCGCAAGACCUCUCACUAUUGGAGCGGCCGAUAUCGGAUUAGCUAGUUGGUGGGGUAAAGGCUCACCAAGGCAACGAUCCGUAGCUGGUUUGAGAGGACGACCAGCCACACUGGGACUGAGACACGNCCCAGACUCCUACGCGAGGCAGCAGUGGGGAAUUUUGGACAAUGGGGGAAACCCUGAUCCAGCCAUCCCGCGUGUAUGAUGAAGGCCUUCGGGUUGUAAAGUACUUUUGGCAGAGAAGAAAAGGUAUCCCCUAAUACGGGAUACUGCUGACGGAUAUCUGCAGAAUAAGCACCGGCUAACUACGUGCCAGCAGCCGCGGUAAUACGUAGGGUGCAAGCGUUAAUCGGAAUUACUGGGCGUAAAGCGUGUGUAGGCGGUUCGGAAAGAAAGAUGUGAAAUCCCAGGGCUCAACCUUGGAACUGCAUUUUUAACUGCCGAGCUAGAGUAUGUCAGAGGGGGGUAGAAUUCCACGUGUAGCAGUGAAAUGCGUAGAUAUGUGGAGGAAUACCGAUGGCGAAGGCAGCCCCCUGGGAUAAUACUGACGCUCAGACACGAAAGCGUGGGGAGCAACAGGAUUAGAUACCCUGGUAGUCCACGCCCUAACGAUGUCAACUAGCUGUUGGGGCCGUUAGGC